rnacentral:rRNA from 1 species
UGGGGAAUAUUGCGCAAUGGGCGAAAGCCUGACGCAGCGACGCCUCGUGAGGGAUGAAGGUCUUCGGAUCGUAAACCUCUGUCAAGAGGGAAGAAACCCUUGAGUUCGAACAGGGCUCUUGGCUGACGGUACCUCAAAAGGAAGCACCGGCUAACUCCGUGCCAGCAGCCGCGGUAAUACGGAGGGUGCAAGCGUUAAUCGGAAUCACUGGGCGUAAAGCGCUCGUAGGCUGUUUGGUAAGUCAGACGUGAAAUCCCGCGGCUUAACCGCGGAACUGCGUUUGAUACUGCCAGACUUGAGUGUCGGAGAGGGUGGCGUAAGUCCGGGUGUAGGAGUGAAAUCCGUAGAUAUCCGGAGGAACACCAGAGGCAAAGGCGACCACCUGGACGACAACUGACGCUGAGGAGCGAAGGCGUGGGGAGCAAACA